CAAUAGCGUAUAUUAAAGUUGUUGCAGUUAAAAAGCUCGUAGUUGAAUUUUUGCUUGCCGCCGAUGUCGGAACUUCCGUACGUUCGGCGGCGUGCAUCCUUGGGUGGAACCUGUGUGGCAUUAGGUUGUCGUGCAGGGGAUGCUCAUCGUUUACUGUGAAAAAAUUAGAGUGUUCAAAGCAGGCUUACGCCGUUGGAUAUAUUAGCAUGGAAUAAUAAGAUAGGACCUUGGUACUAUUUUGUUGGUUUGCGCACCGAGGUAAUGAUUAACAGGGACAGUUGGGGGUAUUCGUAUUCCAUUGUCAGAGGUGAAAUUCUUGGAUUUCUGGAAGACGAACUACUGCGAAAGCAUUUACCAAGGAUGUUUUCAUUAA
rnacentral:rRNA from 1 species